rnacentral:rRNA from 1 species
CCGGCGACCGGCGCACGGGUGAGUAACACGUAUGCAACCUGGCCGUGACAGAUGGAUAACCGGGAGAAAUCCCGCCUAAUACAACAUAAUGCCGGGAGGGGACAUCCCCUGCCGGUCAAAGGGGGCGACCCCGGUCAUGGAUGGGCAUGCGGCGCAUUAGGUAGUUGGUGGGGCAACGGCCCACCAAGCCGACGAUGCGUAGGGGUUCUGAGAGGAAGGUCCCCCACAUUGGAACUGAGACACGGUCCAAACUCCUACGGGAGGCAGCAG